rnacentral:lncRNA from 1 species
AGCAGAAUGAUGUAUUUUAUUGAUCCCCAUCCCCGAAGUGCAGCGUUAGGAGGGUUCAGCCAUCACAACCCCUCUGGUGGGGAUGGCUUUGGGGGGCUCACACCACCACGUGCUGGGGCGGGGGGUGUCAUCUGGGUUGUCAGGAGGGGUGCAGGGCCUGGGCCGGGCCAUGCUGGCGGGGUGUGAGGCUGCGGUGUGGACCGGCACCGAGCUGCUCUCAUCUUCGACUUCCUUCCCAGCACCGAGCCCAUUUCCUCUGGUGUCACGUGCACCGUGUGGGGCCGUGGCAGCCCUGGGAGCCUGGCACCGCACUGCGCCCCACGGCUUCGUGGGCAGCCCCACACCAGCAGCUCCCGGACCCCCCGAGGAUGGAGCCGGCCAAGGUCCCCCCCAGCAAGAGGAUGGCUCCUGCUCCCCCCGUCCCUGCCAAGGCCAAACCGGCCCCCACGCUGGCCAGCAAACCUGCUGCUCCCCAGCCCGGUGCCUCGGCCGACGCGGAGCUGGGCAGAGCCAGAGACACAGAUGGUGACGCCUUCAACGUGGUGCCGGUCACCACGGCCAGGCUGAGCCACCCCACGGCCACACGCCCCCGGGUACCAGGCCAGCGGCCCCCCAGCCUCGCCCUGGGGAGCGUGGGGGGUCCCUGCGGGGGGGAGCAGCCCUGGGGGCUCGGUGCCCCUCUCCCUGGCGCGGGCCAGGCUCCCGGCCCACCGUGGAGCACGGAGGUUCUGGUGGCACCGCGGUCGGGGGAGACGCUGGCCUUGGAGGACCUGAAGGCUGAGGUGCGGUCCCUGCACAUCCUCGUGGACCUGAUGCGAGUCCAGCACCUGUGAGUGGGGGUGGGGGUGGCAGGGGGGGGGUCCCCAGCAGCUCCUGGCUGCCCACCGUCGGGGCUGGCCCUGGCUGAACCAUCCCUGGGGGGCUGCAGGCGGGGCCCGGNNNNNNNNNNCUCCCUGGCGCGGGCCAGGCUCCCGGCCCACCGUGGAGCACGGAGGUUCUGGUGGCACCGCGGGCGGGGGAGACGCUGGCCCUGGAGGACCUGAAGGCUGAGGUCCGGUCCCUGCACAUCCUCGUGGACCUGAUGCGAGUCCAGCACCUGUGAGUGGGGGUGGGGGUGGCAAGGGGGGGUCCCCAGCACCUCCUGGCUGCCCACUGUUGGGUCUGGCCCCGGCUGAACCAUCCCUGGUGGGCUGCAGGCGGGACCUGGAGGACAUGCGGCUGGAGAUGUGCCAGGAGCGAGCCAAGCGCCAGGCGCUGCAGGUGAGUCCCUGGNNNNNNNNNNNNNNNNNNNNNNNNNNNNCCCGCAGGCGGAGAUCGAGCGGGUGAGGAAGGCGCUGCCCUGCUAACAGCGGGGGUGCCCCCCCCUCCGGGCUGGUGGGUGGAACAGGGUGCUGGUGCUGUGCCCUGUGCCCCCCCAGCCCAGUUCUGCACCCAUUGGGCAGGAACCCUCACCCCACACCUGGGCUUCGUGGUGUGGUGCAGCCCCGAGAGGGGGCAACCACCCUGGGCUUAUAGAUAUUGUUUAAAAUAAACUAUUUUGGGUACGGAGCGCUGCUGGGCUG